AUACAUGAGCAAAAUCUCAACUUUAUUAGAAGAGACGCAUUUAUUAGAUAAAAAGCCAAUGCAUGCUUUUACAGUAUGAAAAUUGGUGAUUUAUAAUAACUUAGCAAAUCGCAAAGUGAAAACAGGCGAUAAAUCAUUCAAGUUUCUGACCUAUCAGCUUUCGACGGUAUGGUAUUGGCUUACCGUGGCAGUGACGGUUAACGGGGGAUUAGGGUUCGAUUCCGGAGAGGGAGCCUGAGAAACGGCUACCACAUCUAAGGAAGGCAGCAGGCGCGCAAAUUACCCAAUUCUAACAGUUUGAGAGAGGUAGUAACAAGAAAUAACAAUACAAGGCAGUUAAAAUGCUUUGUAAUUGGAAUGAUAGAAAUUUAAACCCUUUUUAAAGUAUCAAUUGGAGGGCAAGUCUGGUGCCAGCAGCCGCGGUAAUUCCAGCUCCAAUAGCGUAUAUUAAAAUUGUUGCAGUUAAAAAGCUCGUAGUUGAAGUUCUGCUAAAAGUAACCGGUCUGCUUUUAAUAAAGGUGGUAUCUUGGUGUGUAUUUAGCAAUGAUGUCCUUUGAAGUGUUUUUUACUUUAUUGUAAUAAGAGCAUAUUCAGGACUUUUACUUUGAGAAAAUUAGAGUGUUUCUAGCAGGCUAACGCUUUGAAUACUGCAGCAUGGAAUAAUAAG
rnacentral:rRNA from 1 species